CCUACGGGAGGCAGCAGUGGGGAAUAUUGGGCAAUGGGCGCAAGCCUGACCCAGCAACGCCGCGUGAAGGAAGAAGGCUUUCGGGUUGUAAACUUCUUUUCUCAGGGACGAAGAAAGUGACGGUACCUGAGGAAUAAGCCACGGCUAACUACGUGCCAGCAGCCGCGGUAAUACGUAGGUUGCAAGCGUUAUCCGGAUUUACUGGGUGUAAAGGGCGUGUAGGCGGGGAAGCAAGUCAGAUGUGAAAACCACGGGCUCAACCUGUGGCCUGCAUGUGAAACUGUUUUUCUUGAGUACUGGAGAGGCAGGCGGAAUUCCUAGGGUAGCGGUGAAAUGCGUAGAUAUUAGGAGGAACACCAGUGGCGAAGGCGGUCUGCUGGACGGCAACUGACGCUGAGGCGCGAAAGCGUGGGGAGCAAACAGGAUUAGAUACCCGAGUAGUC
rnacentral:rRNA from 1 species